GGCCGCCUGGCGAAAUGGCAUCGCGUCUGACUACGAUCUAGUGAUCAGGAGAUUGCAGGUUCGACCCCUGCGGUGGUCA